rnacentral:lncRNA from 1 species
CCACGCCGGGCUGGUAGUGGCGUGGCUACACCGUGGCCUCAAGGAGCCAGUCCUGCCCGGAUGGGGCUCGCCGGAUCGGUUUCGGUUUUCACGCACUCCCAUUUCUGUGGCCGCUGUGCAUUCGCGGAGUGUUCUCUGCUGCUUCUGGGUCCUGACAGUCUUGAAAAGAUCCAGCUGCUGAACUGGUAAGAGGUGGACUGCUGCCUCUGCAUGUGUAGAGCACAGGAACUGACAUGGCUGCUAGGGAUCUGACUCUAGCUCUACCUCAG